rnacentral:siRNA from 1 species
UACUUGGGACAUAGAACAAAGCUC